CAUGUGUUUAUUAGUGAUAAUUAAUUUAUAGAUAAUUGCAUUUUCUGUCUUAUUAUUAAGCAAAUAUUAGAACGACACUUGAUUAGACGUAAAUUUCAUAAAAAAAAAUUGUUCCAAGUGAGACUUUGACCCUUAAUCACGACAGACACGUGACUCCCUAUUUCUAUGUUUAAAGUUUUAUCAUGUAUUUUAAAAGAUAAUUUUGGUUAACAUAUAUUUGACUAGCUUUCAAUUUUUAUAUAUAUGCAGCUUUGAAAACUGUGAAAUACGUUCAGUCCGCGUUUCUUAUGAAAGUGUAAUGGGAUUGGGAUCAGAUUUGAUGCAAAUUGGUUAUUAUGAAAUGAGUAUCCCACAUGGAAAUGAAGUCCAAAGAGAUUCCAAGAAAAAAAAUGUUUCAGUGGAGGAAUUGGAAGUCAUCAAUUAAUGGAUCUUUAACUCAGUUACUUCUAAGAUAUUAAAUACUGAUGAUAGAAUAUUAGUUCGAUUGGUUUUUCAAACAUGUACCCGCUAACUACUUUAAUUGUUUUCUUAGAAUUUUUGUCUUUAAUUUGGUAGCAUAAUAACGAAAAACAUUGUGAGAAUAUUAUUAAGCUAAACGUUGUUUAUAGAACGGCAGGUCGGCUUAGUACUUUAUAUUUGGACGGCCACCGGUCGGUAUUUUUCGUCGUUUAUUGUGAUUUGAUUAUUGCCGACAAA